rnacentral:misc_RNA from 1 species
GAUGAAGAAGUAGCGAAAUGCGAUAAGUAAUGUGAAUUGCAGAAUUCAGUGAAUCAUCGAAUCUUUGAACGCACAUUGCGCCCGCCAGUAUUCUGGCGGGCAUGCCUGUUCGAGCGUCAUUACAACCCUCAGGCCCCCGGGCCUGGCGUUGGGGAUCGGCGGAGCCCCCCGUGGGCACACGCCGUCCCCCAAAUACAGUGGCGGUCCCGCCGCAGCUUCCAUCGCGUAGUAGCUAACACCUCGCGACUGGAGAGCGGCGCGGCCACGCCGUAAAACACCCAACUCUUCUGAAGUUGACCUCGAAUCAGGUAGGAAUACCCGCUGAACUUAAGCAUAUCAAUAAGCGGAGGA